CCUUAAUAGGCCUUGAUACACACAAAGGAAAUAAGGAAGACCGAAGGAAACAUGAGGAAAGAGAAAGGAAAGAAUUCAGUUCAUGGGAUGAUGGCAAAGACAAAACAGAAUGGAGAGGAUUAUCUACAUGGACAGAAGGAACUUAUGAUGGUUCGACGCGGCCAUGGCACAAGUGGGACUCAAACUCACGAUCUCCUAGUUACGAAACAAACUUUCUACCAUCGAGCUACUGCCACUGGUGUGUAGAUAUUGGCGAUGAGGAACUCCAGCAUCUUUUUAAAAUGAACUUAGGAGCGUUUAUGUUUAAAAUCAGAGAUGUUUAGAAAAGUAAUUUUUGAAUGACGGACUGAUCACAAAAUAUGAAGAUUUACGUAUUCCACUUUUAUUGAAGAAAGAGCAACUGUC